rnacentral:rRNA from 1 species
GGAAUAUUGCACAAUGGGGGAAACCCUGAUGCAGCGACGCCGCGUGAGUGAAGAAGUAUUUCGGUAUGUAAAGCUCUAUCAGCAGGGAAGAAAAUGACGGUACCUGACCAAGAAGCCCCGGCUAACUACGUGCCAGCAGCCGCGGUAAUACGUAGGGGGCAAGCGUUAUCCGGAUUUACUGGGUGUAAAGGGAGCGUAGACGGUGAUGCAAGUCAGAAGUGAAAGCCCGGGGCUCAACUCCGGGACUGCUUUUGAAACUGUGUAACUGGAGUGCAGGAGAGGUAAGCGGAAUUCCUAGUGUAGCGGUGAAAUGCGUAGAUAUUAGGAGGAACAUCGGUGGCGAAGGCGGCUUACUGGGCUUUUACUGACGCUGAGGCUCGAAAGCGUGGGGAGCAAACAGG